rnacentral:rRNA from 1 species
CCUACGGGUGGCAGCAGUGAGGAAUAUUGGUCAAUGGACGAGAGUCUGAACCAGCCAAGUAGCGUGAAGGAUGACUGCCCUAUGGGUUGUAAACUUCUUUUAUAUGGGAAUAAAAUGUUCCACGUGUGGGAUUUUGUAUGUACCAUAUGAAUAAGGAUCGGCUAACUCCGUGCCAGCAGCCGCGGUAAUACGGAGGAUCCGAGCGUUAUCCGGAUUUAUUGGGUUUAAAGGGAGCGUAGGUGGAUUGUUAAGUCAGUUGUGAAAGUUUGCGGCUCAACCGUAAAAUGGCAGUUGAAACUGGCAGUCUUGAGUACAGUAGAGGUGGGCGGAAUUCGUGGUGUAGCGGUGAAAUGCUUAGAUAUCACGAAGAACUCCGAUUGCGAAGGCAGUUCACUGGACUGCAACUGACACUGAGGCUCGAAAGUGUGGGUAUCAAACAGGAUUAGAUACCCGAGUAGUC